rnacentral:rRNA from 1 species
AACGGCCGCGGUACCCUAACCGUGCAAAGGUAGCGUAAUCAUUUGUCUAUUAAUUGUAGACCUGUAUGAAAGGCAAAAUGAGGGCCUAACUGUCUCUUAUAAUAAAUCAAUUAAACUGAUCUCCCAGUCCAAAAGCUGGAAUACCCCCAUAAGACCAGAAGACCCUGUGAAGCUUAAACUAAACUAUUAAACCAUAUAAUAGCUACUUUCGGUUGGGGCGACCUUGGAAAAAAAGAAAACUUCCAAACAGUGACCUACAUCACACCCUAAGGCCAACAAGCCUACACUAGACCCAGCACAGCUGACAAAUGAACCAAGUUACUCCAGGGAUAACAGCGCUAUCUUCUUCAAGAGCCCAUAUCAAAAAGAAGGUUUACGACCUCGAUGUUGGAUCAGGACAUCCUAUUGGUGCAGCCCCUAUUA